rnacentral:rRNA from 1 species
UGGGGAAUAUUGCACAAUGGGCGCAAGCCUGAUGCAGCCAUGCCGCGUGUGUGAAGAAGGCCUUCGGGUUGUAAAGCACUUUCAGCGGGGAGGAAGGCGAUAAGGUUAAUAACCUCAUCGAUUGACGUUACCCGCAGAAGAAGCACCGGCUAACUCCGUGCCAGCAGCCGCGGUAAUACGGAGGGUGCAAGCGUUAAUCGGAAUUACUGGGCGUAAAGCGCACGCAGGCGGUCUGUCAAGUCGGAUGUGAAAUCCCCGGGCUCAACCUGGGAACUGCAUUCGAAACUGGCAGGCUAGAGUCUUGUAGAGGGGGGUAGGAUUCCAGGUGUAGCGGUGAAAUGCGUGGAGAUCUGGAGGAAUACCGGUGGCGAAGGCGGCCCCCUGGACAAAGACUGACGCUCAGGUGCGAAAGCGUGGGGAGCAAACAGG